rnacentral:rRNA from 1 species
CCUUACCUGGCCUUGACAUCCAGAGAACUUUCCAGAGAUGGAUUGGUGCCUUCGGGAACUCUGAGACAGGUGCUGCAUGGCCGUCGUCAGCUCGUGUCGUGAGAUGUUGGGUUAAGUCCCGUAACGAGCGCAACCCCUAUCCCUGGUUGCUAGCAGGUAAUGCUGAGAACUCCAGGGAGACUGCCGGUGACAAACCGGAGGAAGGUGGGGAUGACGUCAGGUCAUCAUGGCCCUUACGGCCAGGGCUACACACGUGCUACAAUGGCGCGUACAGAGGGCUGCCAACUCGCGAGAGUGAGCCCAUCCCUUAAAACGCGUCGUAGUCCGGAUCGGAGUCUGCAACUCGACUCCGUGAAGUCGGAAUCGCUAGUAAUCGCGAAUCAGAAUGUCGCGGUGAAUACGUUCCC